CCAGUUACGUACUGGAGUCGAUAUAAUCGACUUAAUCCGUUUGUCUGUCCUUGUGUUUAGCCCCUUGUGGGCAGUAAAGAAGUAUAUAACUAUGUUGUCUAAGGCGGCGAGCUGGCAGAGUGGUUAGCAGGCCGGGCGAAAUGCUUAGCCGUAUUUCGUCUGCCGUUACGUUCUGGGUUCAAAUUCCGCCGAGGUCGACUUUGCCUUUUUAUCCUUUCGGGGGCGAUAAAUUAAGUACCAAGUUACGCUCUGGGGUCGAUGUAAUAGACUUAAUCCCUUUGUCUGUCCUUGUUUGUCCCCUCUGUGUUUAGCCCCUUGUGGGUAGUAAAGAAGUAUAUAACUAUGUUGUCUGAGAUGCACCAAUACGUAAUGAAAAUUAUCUUCCCUUAACUGAUAUACGCAUGCGCUGUAGUGGUUUCUUCUUCGAGUUUUUGAUAAAUCUUUGUUCUUCAUUCAUUCAUUCGUCCUCCUGUGUUGAUGUUUUCGGUCACAACUACAGUACUGCGAUAUUUUCCAUCACUGCCCGCUACUCAUACAUUUUUUCAAAUCUUAGCUACUUGCAACUUUAAAAUUUAAAAUCGUAAUGGUAAGAAUUCUUUCGACUAAUCAUCUUUUAAAAAAAAGUUAAGUGUCUUCUACUAUAGCCUCGGGCCGACCAAAGCCUUGUGAGUGGAUUUGGUAGACGGAAACUGAAAGAAGCCCGUCGUAUAUAUGUAUAUAUAUAUAUAUAUAUAUAUAUAUAUAUAAUUUCAACAUUAUAUAUAAGGGCUUAGUAAAAUAAAUUUCUAAUGAGUUCAGUAUGUGGCAAAGUAAUUUAUUUUACUAAGCCCUUAUAUAUAAUGUAAUAUUUUGAAUUCGCCUAUAAUGGUCCCUUUACAUACUGAAUACUUGGUGAAAUUGAUUAAUAAUUAAUUUUACCCUCAAUUGUUGAAAUUAUAAUUCAUCUCUCUCUGUUAAAUUGCUAAAUGCUGCGGUUUUCACCGUUAAUACUUGGUGUUUGUCAACUUUAACCCACGCUGGUGGAAAGGGGAGAGCAGAAAUUCUUCGCUUGCAUAUUCGAAUUUGAUAGCACUUUUAGUUCGAGCAGAAUUCUAGAGGUGAUUAGAAGCCGAAAGGGUAUGCUCCCGACUUUCAGUGUUCCCAAAUCCGAUUCAAGGAAUUCUGAGCUGAAGAAAGAAAUGUCGAAUUGACUAAUCUAGAAACGUACGUUCUCAAAUAACCUUUGCACUUGAUUUUUUAAUGUUUUUUCCCCCAUACUUUUGUGAGUUAGUUUAGGCAAACACUAUCUGAGAGAGAUCUUCUUUAAGUAUUAGAAAUAGCUGAAGAAAUUUCUUUAGCUGCUAUUUCUAAUGAGUUCAGUAUGUGGCAAAGUAAUUUAUUUUACUAAGCCCUUAUAUAUAAUAUAUAUAUAUAUAUAUAUAUGCGUGUGUGUGAUUGUGUCUGUGUUUGUCCUCCUAGCAUUGCUUGACAACCGAAGAUGGUGUAAUGGUAAGAAUUCUUUCGACUAAUCAUCUUUUAAAAAAAGUUAAGUGUCUUCUACUAUAGCCUCGGGCCGACCAAAGCCUUGUGAGUGGAUUUGGUAGACGGAAACUGAAAGAAGCCCGUCGUAUAUAUGUAUAUAUAUAUAUAUAUAUAUAUAUAUAUAUGCGUGUGUGUGAUUGUGUCUGUUUGUCCUCCUAGCAUUGCUUGACAACCGAAGAUGGUGUAAUGGUAAGAAUUCUUUCAACUAAUCAUCUUUUAAAAAAAGUUAAGUGUCUUCUACUACAGCCUCGUGCCGACCAAAGCCUUGUGAGUGGAUUUGGUAGACGGAAACUGAAAGAAGCCUGUCGUAUAUAUGUAUAUAUAUAUGCGUGUGUGUGAUUGUGUCUGUGUUUGUCCUCCUUGCAUUGCUUGACAACCGAUGCUGGUGUAAUGGUAAGAAUUCUUUCGACUAAUCAUCUUUUAAAAAAGUUAAGUGUCUUCUACUAUAGCCUCGGGCCGACCAAAGCCUUGUGAGUGGAUUUGGUAGACGGAAACUGAAAGAAGCCCGUCGUAUAUAUGUAUGUAUAUAUAUAUAUAUAUGCGUGUGUGUUUGUGUGUCUGUGUUUGUCCUCCCAGCAUUGCUUGACAACCGAUGCUGGUGUAAUGGUAAGAAUUCUUUCGACUAAUCAUCUUUUAAAAAAAGUUAAGUGUCUUCUACUAUAGCCUGGGGCCGACCAAAGCCUUGUGAGUGGAUUUGGUAGACGGAAACUGAAAGAAGCCCGUCGUAUAUAUGUAUAUAUAUAUGUAUAUGCGUGUGUGUUUGUGUUUGUCCUCCUAGCAUUGCUUGACAACCGAUGCUGGUGUAAUGGUAAGAAUUCUUUCGACUAAUCAUCUUUUAAAAAAAGUUAAGUGUCUUCUACUAUAGCCUCGGGCCGACCAAAGCCUUGUGAGUGGAUUUGGUAGACGGAAACUGAAAGAAGCCCGUCGUAUAUAUGUAUAUAUAUGUAUAUGCGUGUGUGUUUGUGUUUGUCUUCCUAGCAUUGCUUGACAACCGAUGCUGGUGUAAUGGUAAGAAUUCUUUCGACUAAUCAUCUUUCAAAAAAAGUUAAGUGUCUUCUACUAUAGCCUGGGGCCGACCAAAGCCUUGUGAGUGGAUUUGGUAGACGGAAACUGAAAGAAGCCCGUCGUAUAUAUGUAUAUAUAUGUAUAUGCGUGUGUGUUUGUGUUUGUCCUCCUAGCAUUGCUUGACAACCGAUGCUGGUGUAAUGGUAAGAGUUCUUUCGACUAAUCAUCUUUAAAAAAAGUUAAGUGUCUUCUACUAUAGCCUGGGGCCGACCAAAGCCUUGUGAGUGGAUUUGGUAGACGGAAACUGAAAGAAGCCCGUCGUAUAUAUGUAUAUAUAUAUAUGCGUGUGUGUUUGUGUGUCUGUGUUUGUCCCCCUAGCAUUGCUUGACAACCGAUGCUGGUGUAAUGGUAAGAAUUCUUUCGACUAAUCAUCUUUUAAAAAAAGUUAAGUGUUUUCUACUAUAGCCUGGGGCCGACCAAAGCCUUGUGAGUGGAUUUGGUAGACGGAAACUGAAAGAUGCCCGUCGUAUAUAUGUAUAUAUAUGCGUGUGUGUGAUUGUGUCUGUGUUUGUCCUCCUAGCAUUGCUUGACAACCGAUGCUGGUGUAAUGGUAAGAAUUCUUUCGACUAAUCAUCUUUUAAAAAAGUUAAGUGUUUUCUACUAUAGCCUGGGGCCAACCAAAGCCUUGUGAGUGGAUUUGGUAGACGGAAACUGAAAGAUGCCCGUCGUAUAUAUGUAUAUAUAUGCGUGUGUGUUUGUGUGUCUGUGUUUGUCCUCCUAGCAUUGCUUGACAACCGAUGCUGGUGUAAUGGUAAGAAUUCUUUCGACUAAUCAUCUUUUAAAAAAAGUUAAGUGUUUUCUACUACAGCCUCGUGCCGACCAAAGCCUUGUGAGUGGAUUUGGUAGACGGAAACUGAAAGAAGCCCGUCGUAUAUAUGUAUAUAUAUAUAUAUAUAUAUAUAUAUAUGCAUGUGUGUGAUUGUGUCUGUGUUUGUCCUCCUAGCAUUGCUUGACAACCGAUGCAGGUGUGUUUACGUCCCCGUCACUUAGCGGCUCGGCAAAAAAGAGACCGAUAGAAUAAGUACUGGGCUUACAAAGAAUUAGUCCCAGGGUCGAUUUGCUCGACUAAAAGGCGGUGCUCCAGCAUGGCCACAGUCAAAUGACUGAAACAAGUAAAAGAGGUAAUUAUGUAAAGUACAACCGAAUACUUCGUUUUUGUAUCUGGUUUGCAGUGGUGUCGCAUCUCAUUUCUACAUCUGAGUGAACUGGAGCGACGUGAGAUAAAGUGUCUUGCUCAAGAACACAACACUGCCCAGUCAGAGAUUUGAAUUCACUACCUCAUGAUUGUGAGCUCGAUGCGCUAACCACUGAGCCAUGUGUCUUCGUAGUUUAACAUAUAUCAUGUUACAAUAUGAAGGUCUGUGAAUGAGUAGGCUUGCCAUAGUGAGGGCGCGUGGCUUAGUGGUUAGGGCAUUCAGCUCAUGAUCGUAAGGUUGUGAGUUCGAUUCCCGGCGACGCGUUGUGUCCUUGAGCAAGACACUUUAUUUCACGUUGCUCCAGUCCACUCAGCUGGCAAAAAUGAGUAGUACCUGUAUUUCAAAGGGUCAGCCUUGUCACUCUCUGUGUCAUGCUGAUUAUCCCCGAGAACUACGUUAAGGGUACACGUGUCUGUGGAAUGCUCAGCCAUUUGCACGUUAAUUUCACGAGCAAGCUGUUCCGUUGAUCGUAUCAGCUGGGACCCUCGUCGUCGUAACUGGCGGAGUCUUUAGGUUUGCCAUAAGGUUGAAUGAUGUAAUUGCAAUUAAUUAAAAGGUAAAUUUUAAUUGUUCAGGUCAAGGUUUAUAUUCAUAGCUUAUUAUUCUAGAAAUAUUAAAAUUUCUACUGUUUCUAUACUCUUUACUCUUUUACUUGUUUCAGUCUUUUGACUGCGGCCAUGCUAGAGCACCGCCUUUAAUCGAGCAACUCGACCCCGGGACUUAUUCUUUUGUAAGCCCAGUACUUAUUCUAUCGGUCUCUUUUGCCGAACCGCUAGGUAACGUGGACAUAAACACACCAGCAUCGUUUGUCAAGCAAUGCUAGGGGGACAAACACAGACACACAAACACACACACGCAUAUAUAUACAUAUAUACGACGGGCUUCUUUCAGUUUCCGUCUACCAAAUCCACUCACAAGGCUUUGGUCGGCCCGGGGCUAUAGUAGAAGACACUUGCCCAAGGUGCCACGCAGUGGGACUGAACCCGGGACCAUGUGGUUGGUAAACAAGCUACUUACCACACAGCCACUCCUGCGACUAUCUUACCACACAGCUACUUACCACACAGCCACUCCUAUGCCUAUUUUUCAUCUUUUUACUUAUUUCAGUCAUUUGACUUCGGCCAUGGGUUUUAGUCAAACAAAUCGACUUAUUUUUUAAGCCUGGUACUUAUUCUGUCAGUCUCUUUUGCUGAACCACUAUGUUAUAGGGACAUAAACACAUCCACACCAGUUUGUCAAGUGAUGGUGGAGGGGAACAAACACACACACAUACGAUGGGCUUCUUUCAGUUUCCGUCUCUACCAAAUUCACUCACAUGGCUUUCGUCAGACCAAUGCUAUAAUAGAAGAUAUUUGUUCUAGGUGCCACACAGUGGGACUGAACCUAGAACCACAUGGUUGGGAAGCAAGCUUUUUAAUACACAGCCAUGUCUGUACCCAUCUCAAUUUAGCACCAUCCGUUCGUGGCCGUUUGCCAGCCUCGCCUGGCCCCCGUGCCGGUGGCACAUAAAAGCACCAUCUGUUCGUGGCCAUUUGCCAGCUCCGUCUGGCACCUGUGCGGGUGGCACGUAAAAAGCACCCAUUACACUCACGGAGUGGUUGGCGUUAGGAAGGGCAUCCAGCCGUAGAAACACUGCCAGAUCUGACUGGGCCUGAUGAAGCCUUCCAGCUUCACAGACCCCAGUUGAACCGUCCAACCCAUGCUAGCAUGGAAAACGGACGCUAAAUGAUGAUGAUGAUGAUGAUUUUCAAUACCUCAUAAUCUUUUUGUCUAUAAUUUCAGAAUACCAGAUGGUGCUGGAAUUAAAAAUUGUUUUUCACUUUGGAUCUACCAUCAGUAAAGGAAGAUGUUGUACAGAACACAUAUAAUCCAUUUUGUGUGAACCAGUGCUCAAAUUGCUGUGAAAUAUUAUCUCUCAGUGAGACUAUCAACAAAAUCUUUCCACUUCAUUGUCUGGAUUGAUGAUUUUUU
rnacentral:lncRNA from 1 species